rnacentral:rRNA from 1 species
AUUGAACGCUGGCGGCACGCUUAACACAUGCAAGUCGAGCGGUAACAUGACUAGUAGCAAUACUAGUUGAUGACGAGCGGCGGACGGGUGAGUAACACGUAGGAACUUGCCAAAUAGAGGGGGACAACCAAGGGAAACUUUGGCUAAUACCGAAUAUACUCGCGAGAGGAAAGCUGCCAGCUAUGGUGGCGCUAUUGGAGAGGCCUGCGUCCGAUUAGUUAGUUGGUGAGGUAAAGGCUCACCAAAGCUGGGAUCGGUAACUGGUCUGAGAGGACGACCAGUCACACUGGGACUGAGACACGGCCCAGACUCCUACGGGAGGCAGCAGUGGGGAAUCUUGGACAAUGGGGGCAACCCUGAUCCAGCGAUGCCGCGUGAGUGAAGAAGGCCUUCGGGCCGUAAAGCUCUUUAGUUCGGGAGGAAGGUUAGUAGUUUAAGAGAUAACUAAUUUGACUGUACCGAAGGAAUAAGCACCGGCAAACUCUGUGCCAGCCGCCGCCGUAA